rnacentral:piRNA from 1 species
UAAAAAUGCAGUGCACAACAUGCUCUG